UACGUAGGGGGGCUAGCGUUGUCCGGAAUCAUUGGGCGUAAAGCGCGCGUAGGCGGCCAGGUAAGUCCGGUGUGAAAGUCAAAGGCUCAACCUUUGAAUGCCGCUGGAUACUGUCUGGCUUGAGUCCGGAAGGGGCGAGUGGAAUUCCUGGUGUAGCGGUGAAAAUGCGCAGAUAUCAGGAGGAACACCAAUGGCGAAGGCAGCUCG
rnacentral:rRNA from 1 species